UGGUUCGUGGCUCGCUGGUUCCGGCUGCCGAGUUUCGGCUGGUGUUGUUCGGUUCUGGCGACCGAGUUCCGGCAAUUUUAAAGAUCAAAGCAGCAGCGACCAUUUUCUUUUUGAACUGAAAAUCUCUAGGCUCUAGCUGUGUGCAUACCGGACUUCAUUUUGGACCAAUCCAACUUCUCUCAUGCCAAUGGAAUUCUUCUGUCACUGCUGUUGACAAAGGAACUGAAAGAAACAGGACAUUAUCAUAACUGGUGCUAACACGUUGUCUAAGGAUGAGGUGGAAAACAUGGUUCAAGAGGUUUGCAAAGGGGGAUAAAGAGAAGAGACAAGCAAUUGACAUCAAGAACCAAGCUAAUUCUGUAGUAUACCAAAUUGAGAAACAGCUGAAGGAGUUAGGAGGAAAUCCCAGCUGCAGUGAAGGAGAAAGUUGAAGCCAAGCCAAAAGACCUUAAGGAUGCUAUGGAUGGAGAAAGUUGAAGACAAGCCAAAAGACCUCAAGGAUGCUAUGGAAGGUGGCAUUACUCACAAGAUUAAGGAUGCCAUAGCUGCAGUAAACCAGUAAGUAAUGCAGAUAAGGCAAAUAUUUGAAAGAAAAGAAACAUUAAGUAUUUCUGUAAAAAUCUUGCUAAGAAAACGAGCACUUUUAAGUAUCAAGUAUUAAUUUGUGCAUGUA